GCAUGGUCGGUAGUCGAACGACGGCCACCCAGGAGAGCCUCUAAUAACCGAUUGCAACAAUGUUGCAAUCGGUUAACUAGCGCCACACGCCUCUAAGUGUGUGGGCUAUUAGGGGGUAUCGCAUUCGUUUCACGAACGGCCCUCCAAAGUGCCGUUCGCGAAACGAACGGGAAUCCCCAUACAAACCGCCAUUUGCAUUCGGCGGAACAGAUAGGUACAGGUAAAGCAGGGAAUACAGGAAGCAGGCACAUACAGUUACAACGCAUCUCUCUCCAGACCUAUAGGCAACCCUUAAAGGCAUAGUGUCCAGUUAUAGUCCGAGUGGCUAGGUUUGCCACAACAACCUUCCACGCCUGGCCUCUACUUUACUUCCACAUCUUUAUGGCAGCAAAUUUGCUGAUAGCCAGAGCCUGGAAAACCACAAAAGUGCCUGCAUGUUCUGCCGUUUUAGCACAGAUCUCCUUAAAUCUGGACUACGAAUCAAUGGCCCAUAAUAGUCCAAAAUAACAUGUACAGGGAGCUGGCGCCAUAUGGGACACAUGCAUUACAGCCCAUACAAACACGGAUAACACCCACACCCCAUGAGCAUCUAGCUGACGAGGGGAGGAGGGAGAACAAGCGAUAUCACACGGACACAUCUUGUAAUGUUAUUAUUAUAUAAUAAAAUAAAAACAAGUUAACUAGUAGAGCAGUUUCACCACUAGAGGCAGAGUGGUAAGAGAGCUGGCGCAGUGGGAGGAGGAAGAGGACCGGUAUCUGGGCUCGGCUCGAUUUUCUCUACUCAAAUUUCAUAAUUAGCAGCACUACAAGCUCGGCAAUGGCAAAUACAGGAGACACUGGGCACUAUGAUGCUUCCAAGUACGGGGGCUUCACCCUAAGUGAUGAGUCCACCCUCACGAGAGACAGGUGAAAUAAAUCCACAAUGUAACUAGUUUAUUCCCCCCCCCCCCUUUUUUGGUUUCCCUCCUCCUCCACUCCCUCUUUACCUUUUCUCCUUUUCAUAUCAAAAUAAGGUCACAGAGGUUUGGCAGCCUCACAGGACUGGUAAGAGCACACUAACUACUGAACGGGAGGCACAAAGGCAUUUUCAUACAAAUUUUAAAAAGGCACUAUCAGACUACCUAGUAGUCUAGACAAAGCCGUAUUAUUUCCGCGAUAAGUAACUACCAUCAGGAGCCUAUUUAGCUUGCCGCCUAUUAGCCUUUACGUAGUCACCUGAUGAGGAAGGACCUCCUAGGCAAGGCACAGGCAUAAACGUGUCGUUAAGGCUGAGACUUGUACCUUCUUCAAAGGCAUGUCAUCUAACUCCCGGCAAAUAGGCCCAAGACGAUAGCCAAUCCACCUUACACGUCUGUAGAAUUGUAUUGCACCCAUGUAUGUAUUAAUAGCCAAAAGAUGUCGAGCACCAAAUGAUAUGUAGUGUAACCACUGUUUGAAUAUAAUUACCCUCUUUCUUUCUGUACCCAACUGCCUCUUCAUUGACUCAAUAAAAAUUGUCAAAUUAAAAAAUAAAAA